UGACUCACGUUCCCCUCAUGACUUGAGGCGGUGCCCCUGCUGCACUUCCACGGCAAACCUGCGCUCCGUGUCCUCCAUCCUGACUUCAUGAUAGGUGCUUUCAAAAUGGCAUAGACAUGACCUUGAGAAGCAACAGCUGCCAGCUCUGCAGUACACUGUGUUCUGGCUCAUGAAGUACCACAUGGUGUUACAGUCAAGAAGUGUAUGAAGCAGCAUGGAAAGUCUUCUGUGAGUUCCCACCCACCCACAUCAGGGUCAUGUGCAUCUGCUCUCACGUUGACACUCCAAGCUUCUGCUAGUGCCUCCCCUUUCUCCCUUCUUCUAUUUCCUCAAAACUGUAUUUAUAAUUAAUUAUGGUCUAAGGUCUGUGCAAAUCACAAAGCAGGCCAGGUUUUGCCUUUCUGCAGCUUCAAUUAUAUAAAUAAAACAACUAAAUAAUUAUGAUUUGGAAA
rnacentral:lncRNA from 1 species